GACUGACGCUCAGGUGCGAAAGCGUGGGGAGCAACCAGGAUUAGAUACCCUGGUAGUCCACGCCGUAAACGAUGUCGACUUGGAGGUUGUGCCCUUGAGGCGUGGCUUCCGGAGCUAACGCGUUAAGUCGUCCGCCUGGGGAGUACGGCCGCAAGGUUAAAACUCAAAUGAAUUGACGGGGGCCCGCACAAGCGGUGGAGCAUGUGGUUUAAUUCGAUGCAACGCGAAGAACCUUACCUACUCUUGACAUCCAGAGAACUUAGCAGAGAUGCUUUGGUGCCUUCGGGAACUCUGAGACAGGUGCUGCAUGGCUGUCGUCAGCUCGUGUUGUGAAAUGUUGGGUUAAGUCCCGCAACGAGCGCAACCCUUAUCCUUUGUUGCCAGCGGUCAGGCCGGGAACUCAAAGGAGACUGCCAGUGAUAAACUGGAGGAAGGUGGGGAUGACGUCAAGUCAUCAUGGCCCUUACGAGUAGGGCUACACACGUGCUACAAUGGCGCAUACAAAGAGAAGCGACCUCGCGAGAGCAAGCGGACCUCAUAAAGUGCGUCGUAGUCCGGAUUGGAGUCUGCAACUCGACUCCAUGAAGUCGGAAUCGCUAGUAAUCGUGGAUCAGAAUGCCACGGUGAAUACGUUCCCGGGCCUUGUACACACCGCCCGUCACACCAUGGGAGUGGGUUGCAAAAGAAGUAG
rnacentral:rRNA from 1 species